GUCUAUGGCCACACCACCCUGAACGUGCCUGAUCUCAUCCAAUCUCGGAAGCUAAGCAGGGUUGGGCCUGGUUAGUGCUUGGAUGGGAGACCACCUGGGACCUGUAGUCCCGGCUACUUGGGAGG
rnacentral:rRNA from 1 species